CGAAACCCACCUUCCGUGCUCCCAAACUGACUGCAAAUGAUAACGUUACAGUGACGUAUUGCUGCAGUCCUGCAUUCAGGUUAGUGAAGUUCACUAAAGAAUAGGGUUCCUCAUGUUUGAGUUUUCAUCCCCAGGAGGAGCUUUCCUCCACAACGUUAUGCAUUUUCUGUCCAGCUGGGUCAGCCUCCAGCUUUCCUGCAGAGGUGUUGGUACCGAGGCCAACUCUAUAUACCAAAGCCCAUUUCAAGGACCACCCACCAGGGCUCAGUUUACCUGGGCGACAGUCAGCGCCGGACUAUCCCAACAUGCCUCAGAGGAGCCGCAGUGUCCAGCAGGUGACCAGUCUUUGGUGAUGACCUUCCACCGGCCUUGGCUGGGACAGACUGCUGGGCUUCCUCUGAGCUUACCAAGGUCAAGCUAGUGCUGGCCAGAGCCCUCUCAGGGGUCAUCAGGGCGAGCCUGGCUCUGCCCCUGCCUGGGCAGGAGGUCCCACAACAGAAAUGAGCCUCCUGAUUCCCACCAGCCCCCCCGGGGCCAUCCUCAGUGUCUGUGCCCCUGACCAGAUCUGCCCAGCCGGCAGAGGUCCCCUCCCCGCGUCUCAGUGAACUAAGGCAACCCUACCUGGCUGACACCCCCUAACCUCUCAGCCCCCUGCAGGGGGCUGCCCUUUGGGCCUUGGUCAGCUGCCACUGGACCCAGGGCGGUGGGAGGUCACCCUGGCCAGGCAAGUCCUGAGAUGGAGGUGCCUUGAGACCAGGGCACUGCGGCUUCCUGACCCUGCUGCACCUCGUCCUCCCCUCUGGUCCUAGGGGAGGUCCCAGUGGGGGCUGUCUGCCUUGGGACCCCUUAGGGUGGGAAUGAGGGGCUGACAGUACUGUACCUGGGAUCCCACAGCCAGCCGGGGCAGCGGAGCUGGGCAUCCAAGCUGCCUGUCCCAGAGCAGCAUGGUGCAGGGCUCGCCACGCAGGCCCCACCCCCAUUGCCCAAAAUACCACAGCUCCGCAGUCACAUGUCUCCUGCCAGGCGGCAGGGUACAGGCCACAAAUAGAUGGCAUUUGAGGGGCUGCCAGCUACGUGAGGGACGCCUUCCUGGUCAGGGCAGAUGCCAGUUAGAGAACGCUGACCAGCAGUCAGGCCCACAGGCCCUCCCUUUCCUAAGCUGAAGGCUACCCUGCUGCCCGUCCUGGCCGAAGGCUGCCCUUUCCUCUUCAAGUGGCCCCGCCCACUGUGAAAACUCAGCCCUCCCCACUCCUCCUGUCACCUCACCUGCCGGCAGCCCCCCAAGACCAGCACCUCUCCCGACCUAGGCUCCUGCAAGCGGGGCCCAAGGCGGGGGUGGCAGUGCAGUCUCUCUCUCCAGGAACAGGGGUCUGGUGCUGCCACCUGCAGGUCACCAGGAGGAGCCGGGCAGGAGGCAUGGCCUCUGAGAACAGCCCCUUACAGGCAUCACCCUGCCCAGUGCCCUGAGCACUUUUCCAAAAUGUGUCCAUCCUGAGAGGGAUGCCAGGAGGAUCCUCCUUCACAGUUGAGCUUGGCUCUGGACUCGGUGGCUAAGGCUGUGUUGGUCAACUUCGCCGCUGAGGGUGGUCCACGUGUGAUCCGUGCAUCGCUUUCCUGUGGAUGGAGAUUUGGGUCAUUUCCAGUUUGCAGCUAUUCCCAGUGAUGCUGUGAACAUUCUGGAACAUUUCUUUUGGCGGUCUUGGAGAGUUGUGGGGUCAGAGGUGUUUGUCCAGCUCUAGAGGACACUGCCCAACAGUUUUCCGGGGUGGCUAUGCCCUCGCUCCAGUGUGUCUGCGCCCACACUGCCUACGGCCUGUCACCGAUGGCGCAGCACUUUCCUUAAGAAUGAAGUUACUGGCCAUUGUCAUCUUCUUUUUAAAUAUUUAUUUGGCUGCACCAGGUCUUUAGUUGCGGCAGUCAGGAUCUUCGUUGCAGCGUGUGGGAUCUAGUUCCCUGACCAGGGAUCGAACCCCUGGACCCCUGCAUUGGGAGCGCAGAGUCUUAACCGCUGGACCACCAAGGAAGUCCCCACUGGCAUCUUCCUUUGUGAAGAUGUGUGUCUCUUCAGUGCUUCUGCCUCUUUUCUAUGCCUUUUUCUUAUUGAUCUGUAGGAGUUUGUUACCCAUUCUGGGUAAAGAUUCUGUUUUGAAUAUUUGUACUAUGAAUAUCUCCCCCCCAUCUCAACUUUUCAAUCUCUUAACAGUGCCUUUUGAUGAACAGAAGUUUUAAAUUUUAACAUAGUCCAAAUUAUCAACAAUUUUCUUUAUGCUUA